rnacentral:SRP_RNA from 1 species
AGCGCGGAGUUCCCAAUGAACAUGUUCGGUAAUCCGUCAGGCCCGGGAGGGAGCAGCGGGCCGGCUUGCUUCAUGUGGGGGCUCCGCGAUGCG